CCUACGGGGGGCUGCAGUGGGGAAUAUUGGACAAUGGGCGAAAGCCUGAUCCAGCCAUGCCGCGUGUGUGAAGAAGGCCUUCGGGUUGUAAAGCACUUUCAGUGGGGAAGAAAGCCUUGGGGCUAAUACCCUCGAGGAAGGACAUCACCCACAGAAGAAGCACCGGCUAACUCCGUGCCAGCAGCCGCGGUAAUACGGAGGGUGCGAGCGUUAAUCGGAAUUACUGGGCGUAAAGCGCGCGUAGGCGGUCUGAUAAGCCGGUUGUGAAAGCCCCGGGCUCAACCUGGGAACGGCAUCCGGAACUGUCAGGCUAGAGUGCAGGAGAGGAAGGUAGAAUUCCCGGUGUAGCGGUGAAAUGCGUAGAGAUCGGGAGGAAUACCAGUGGCGAAGGCGGCCUUCUGGACUGACACUGACGCUGAGGUGCGAAAGCGUGGGUAGCAAACAGGAUUAGAUACCUGUAGUC
rnacentral:rRNA from 1 species